rnacentral:rRNA from 1 species
AUGAACGCUGGCGGCGUGCCUAAUACAUGCAAGUCGAGCGAACAGACGAGGAGCUUGCUCCUCUGACGUUAGCGGCGGACGGGUGAGUAACACGUGGAUAACCUACCUAUAAGACUGGGAUAACUUCGGGAAACCGGAGCUAAUACCGGAUAAUAUAUUGAACCGCAUGGUUCAAUAGUGAAAGACGGUUUUGCUGUCACUUAUAGAUGGAUCCGCGCCGCAUUAGCUAGUUGGUAAGGUAACGGCUUACCAAGGCAACGAUGCGUAGCCGACCUGAGAGGGGGGUCGCACACAGUGGAACUGAGACAGGGUCCAGACACAUGGGGGAGGGAGAAGGGGGAUAUCGUCCGAAAGGGGCGAAAGCCGGACGGAGCAACCCCGGGGGAGUGAAAAAGGUCUUGGUAUCUAAAAACUUUUUUAUGGGGAAAAAAAAAAUGUGAAAGUAACAAUGCACGUUUGGAGGGACCUUAAUAAAAAGGCCGCGGAUACCUAGGU